rnacentral:tRNA from 1 species
ACUCUUGUGGCACAUUGGUUAAGUGUUUGGCUGCUAACCAGAUGUUGGCGGUUCAAUCCCACCCAGCAGCU